CAGCCGCCGCGGGAAUACGUAGGGUGCAAGCGUUAAUCGGAAUUACUGGGCGUAAAGCGUGCGCAGGCGGUUUUGUAAGACAGAGGUGAAAUCCCCGGGCUCAACCUGGGAACUGCCUUUGUGACUGCAAGGCUAGAGUACGGCAGAGGGGGAUGGAAUUCCGCGUGUAGCAGUGAAAUGCGUAGAUAUGCGGAGGAACACCGAUGGCGAAGGCAAUCCCCUGGACCUGUACUGACGCUCAUGCACGAAAGCGUGGGGAGCAAACAGGAUUAGAUACCCGCGUAGUCCCUGUCUCUUAUAC
rnacentral:rRNA from 1 species